rnacentral:siRNA from 1 species
UCAGAGGUAGCCCAUUCCAUUC